AACGAACGCUGGCGGCAUGCCUAACACAUGCAAGUCGAACGAGACCUUCGGGUCUAGUGGCGCACGGGUGCGUAACGCGUGGGAACCUGCCCUUAGGUUCGGAAUAACUCCCCGAAAGGGGUGCUAAUACCGGAUAAUGUCUUCGGACCAAAGAUUUAUCGCCUUUGGAUGGGCCCGCGUUGGAUUAGCUAGUUGGUAGGGUAAAAGCCUACCAAGGCGACGAUCCAUAGCUGGUCUGAGAGGAUGAUCAGCCACACUGGGACUGAGACACGGCCCAGACUGCUACGGGAGGCAGCAGUGGAGAAUAUUGGACAAUGGGCGAAAGCCUGAUCCAGCAAUGCCGCGUGAGUGAUGAAGGCCUUAGGGUUGUAAAGCUCUUUUACCCGGGAUGAUAAUGACAGUACCGGGAGAAUAAGCUCCGGCUAACUCCGUG
rnacentral:rRNA from 1 species